UGUAGUUAGGAUAUAGCGGGUUGGAUAAUGGAUGGAUGUAUUAGGGCCUUCCAAGCCAAAUGAAUAGCCAUGGCUGUGGAAUUUCCAUGUUGAUGGUGUGACCAUUUCAUAUUGUAACUAUCAUUUUUUUUAUGUCUGUAUUUAAUGUUGUGUCCAGGUUUCCAAAGGACUAUUUUGUGGUGUCUCUGUAUUUCAUCUUCGAGGCCCCCUUCAGUUUUAAUGAGUUGUGUCUCAACUUUAGUCGUCUCUUCUUUCAUUGUAGUAUUUGUAGAGGGAGGAUUAUAUCUGGUUGCUGGUUCCGAUUUUUGUCACCUUCUACAAUUUGUGCUGGAUAUUUGUGUUAUGUUUAACUUAUUUUAUUAUAUUUGUUUUUUUUUUAAUUUCAACAUACUGUCCAUAGUGGUUUUGAAGUUCCAGAAACGCCUACCUUUCAAAAUCCAGAUCAUUUAAAUGUAUGUUUAUAAUGGUUUGCAUAAAUAUUUUUGUAACAUUAAACUCCUUUUAACAACGUGACUCUGCUCAGUCCUCUUUAGAAUGACAUGCUGGCUUUGUGGAAGAGCUGGUGUAGAAUGUUACUUGAGAACUCCAGCACCAAGGGGUUUAGACUUUAUUGAGCCAUUAAUGAGAAAACAGAGUAAAGACUUGGCACUACAUCUGAAAUGAACAAAUGUCUUGCUAUUCUGUUCCAUAGCACUGCAUUCUGCAGAUUUCAGAUUUUUUAUUUCAGAAGAAACGUCCGCCUCCCUUCUCCAACAUCCAGCACAGGGCACUGAUGAGCAGCAGCAUGGAAUCCUUCAGCAUUUCACCGAGGCACAGAAGUGGUGUGCUGAGAACAUUUCUGUGUUCAGAGGGCGAAUCUCACUCCCUGCAUUACUGUCAAUGGACAAAGACGACACUGAGGAGGCCCUUCAGAAAUCUGAUUUGCUAUCUGAAUUUCCAGAAGAAGAGGAGAGAGAAUAUGUCUUUAGACAUAUUUUUUUCACAUAUGGAAGACAUGCAUCUGUUUUUAGAUAACGUGAGAGGAAACAGGAAAAUGACUGAGUUUUGUGAGAAAAUGUAACAAACAUACAUGUCCCUCAUUGUUCAGUUACAACCUACAGUUCUUGUUCUAUAUUUUAUAUAUUCUUUAACUUUUUUGUAAUAAAUGUUUCAAACCAACUUCAUCUUUACAGUCCAUUGUCUUAGUGUUAUGUAUUAAAAUAAUGUUUUAUAAAGCAGGGCAAGGCAAUAUUUAUUUAUAAACCACAUUUACAACAGCAGCCAGAACUGAACCAAAGUGCUGUACAAGAAAGGGUAAAAGAAGCAGUUCAAAUACACCGUAUGUACACAUCACAAAACUGCAAGAAUAACCAGCCAUUACAUAAAAGAUAAACUUACAAUACCCAUAUAUACAUAUUUAUAAUCCUGAAUGUACGUGAGCCAACAUAUACAAACAAUGUCAACCUCUUGCAGGGUCAAAUGGCAGCAAGAAGAAAUAAGACUUUAAUGAUGACUUAAAAAUGGCCUGUGAUGGAACAGACCUAAUAUAAUAAGGAGAGCCAUUCCAGAGAAAA